AGCCCUGAACCCAGUGCAGCAUAGGAAGCCAGGGGAUUGAAUGGCAUCUGUGAUCAAUUUUACUUGUUCUACUAGAUAUUGCCAUGGGGGAAGAUGAACCAGUGUUUCCAGACACUUAUUUUCUCCCAACACCUCCAGUACCCUCAGUUCUCAAAAUGCUCCCAGGGCCUCCAGUGAACCCAGGUAUCCAGGUUUCCGCAUGUCCCUCAAGUUCUGCCUGUGAGGGUUCCUCGGGCUCUACAUUUCCAUCCCAUCAAGUUCGAAAUGCAGGACCAAGGAAGCAGCGGAAGGAACGAACUGUUUACACAAAGGAGCAAAAGCUGCUCCUACAGGAACAUUUCAAACAAUGUAUGUACCCGAGCUUUGACCAACGCAAGGAGCUGGCAGUAAUCGUUGGCGUGACGGAGAAAGAGAUCAAGGUCUGUAUUGCUCUUGUGCCUUUCUCACUUAGCAAAACCAGCUAUGGUGCCUGUACAAUUAUCAGUCCCGUACCCUUAGUGAUCCCUCAGUGCUUGGAGCAGCUUGGGACAAUUGUGGAUAGUGGACCUAUGUGCAUUGAUGUCUAGGUGUGGUUGUUGUUCUUCAAUCUGGGCACCAUUAUGGAGCUGCAUUAUCAUCUUGGUAGGGUCUCACUCAGGGACACAAAACUGUUAUUUAUCGGGUAGUAGCUAAAGGCAAGGUUUCCAUAGAGCAUGUUCAACUAGGCACACCGGUCUUCUGACUUCUUCUUUGUCCUUCCAGAUCUGGUUCAAAAACAAUUGAGCAAGGUACAGACGGAAUCAGCCACCGAAUAUUCCAGACGACAACCAGAGAAACUAAAGCUGCUACUUGGCUGAACUAUUCCCAUGGUAACUUAUCUGUAACUGAUCUGUUGAGAUGGCCCUGGCCCAAAUAAUGUGACAGACUUUGUUAAUCUCCCAUGGAAGGAUGGGAAGGAGGGGGAAGUGGGAUUGAUAUGUAAAAUAAUGUUGUUUCUAAUUUAAAAUAAAUAAAUAAAAUAAGAAUGUAGGCUGAGCA
rnacentral:lncRNA from 1 species